UACGUAGGGUGCGAGCGUUAAUCGGAAUUACUGGGCGUAAAGCGUGCGCAGGCGGUUUUGUAAGUCUGUCGUGAAGCCCGGGCUCAACCUGGGAAUGGCGAUGGAGACUGCAAGGCUUGAAUCUGGCAGAGGGGGUAGAAUUCCACGUGUAGCAGGUGAAAUGCGUAGAGAUGAUGGAGGAACACCGAUGGCGAAGGCAGCCCCUGGGUCAAGAUUGCGCUCGAUGCACGAAAGCGUGGGGAGCAAACAGG
rnacentral:rRNA from 1 species